rnacentral:tRNA from 1 species
GGGAAUGUAGCUCAGUUGUAGAGUGUUUGCCUAACAUGCAUGAGGUCCUGAGUUCAAUCCCCAGUAUCACCC